UACGUAGGGGGCAAGCGUUGUCCGGAUUUAUUGGGCGUAAAGAGCGUGUAGGCGGUUUGGUAGGUCCGUUGUGAAAACUCGAGGCUCAACCUCGAGACGCCGAUGGAAACCAUCAGACUAGAGUCCGGAAGAGGAGAGUGGAAUUCCUGGUGUAGCGGUGAAAUGCGUAGAUAUCGUCAGGAACGCCAAUGGUGAAGACAGGUGACUGGGCUAGUUCUGACACUGAGGCACGAAAGCGUGGGGAGCGAACGGG
rnacentral:rRNA from 1 species